UGAGUAACCUGCCCUUAACUCUGGGAUAAGCCUGGGAAACUGGGUCUAAUACCGGAUAUGACUCCUCAUCGCAUGGUGGGGGGUGGAAAGCUUUUUGUGGUUUUGGAUGGACUCGCGGCCUAUCAGCUUGUUGGUGAGGUAAUGGCUCACCAAGGCGACGACGGGUAGCCGGCCUGAGAGGGCGACCGGCCACACUGGGACUGAGAUACGGCCCAGACUCCGUACGGGAGGCAG
rnacentral:rRNA from 1 species